CUUAAAAGUCCGCCGCCUUAAACACCACAAACCCGCCCAACAAAACCCGCUAAACCAUUCGCCAUGCUAAGUAUAGGAGAUAGAACUGCACNCCGCGCGCAAUAGCCAACAGUACCACAUGGGAACACUGAAAGACAAUUAACCACUCAAGCGUAAAAAAGCAGGGAUGAACCCCCGUACCUCUUGCAUCAUGGUCUAACAAGCCCUGCCCAGAUAAAGUGCACUAUAACCUGCCCCCCCGAACCCAGACGAGCUACCCCGGGCCAAUCAAUAAUGGAUUUACCCCAUCUCUGUGGCAAAAGAGUGGAACCAGCCCCGGGUAGUGGUGAAACGCCUAUCGAGCCUGGUGAUAGCUGGUUGCUCAUUAAACGAAUAUAAGUUCGACUCUAGUCACCCAUUCCCGCCACCACUACGCCCUUGUAAACAACUAGAAGCUACACAGUUAGGGAACAGCCUAACUGUGCCCGGACACAGCCCAACUCGCUGGGUCAGCCCAAUCUAACACCGCCCCGUAGGCCUCCAAGCAGCCAGCCCUAAAAAUCGCGUCAAAGCAAAACACACAAAAAUUUCCUACGAUUCCCCAAACCCUCCUACAAAACUGAGCCCCCCUAGCCAAACCUAGAGGAGAUAAUGUUAGAACUAGUAAUAAGAGGCCCCCUCUCUCCCCGCACUGCCUUUCGCCGGCACGGAUAACCCACCGGCAAUUACCAACCACACCCCUCACAACACUAACAAACUGUCACCCCAACACAGGCGUGCCUAAAAGAGCCGGCAAACCGCCAUAGAAGGAACUCGGCUAAAAUGCCCCACCUGUUUACCAAAAACAUGGCCUUUAGCAUACCAAGUAUUAAAGGUCCCGCCUGCCCAGUGAACCACUUUUAAACGGCCGCGGUAUUCUAACCGUGCAAAGGUAGCGUAAUCACUUGCCCUUUAAAUAGGGGCUUGUAUGAACGGCUAAAUGAGGGCCUAACUGUCUCCUAUGGCAAGCCAAUGAAACUGCUCUCUCAGUACAAAAGCUGAGAUGUGCCCACAAGACGAGAAGACCCUGUGGAGCUUUUAAACACCACACUAACCCCCCUACUCAAUCAUAGUGCAAACUUUAAGUUGGGGCGACUGCGGAGCAAAACAUAACCUCCAUGUAACAGGACCAUCGUCCAUUACAGGCCCACAAGCCAAAAUUAUAACCAACCACUUGACCCAGCAUUGCUGACCAACGGCCCAAGUUACCCCAGGGAUAACAGCGCCAUCCUCCCCAAGAGUCCCUAUCGCCAGGAGGGUUUACGACCUCGAUGUUGGAUCAGGGCACCCAGGUA
rnacentral:rRNA from 1 species